UGGGGAAUUUUCUGCAAUGGGCGAAAGCCUGACAGAGCAAUACCGCGUGAGGGAAAAAGGCCUUCGGGUUGUAAACCUCUUUUUUCAAGGAGGAAGAUCUGACAGUACUUGAAGAAUAAGCAUCGGCUAACUCUGUGCCAGCAGCCGCGGUAAUACAGGGGAUGCAAGUGUUAUCCGGAAUUAUUGGGCGUAAAGCGUUUGUAGGUUGAUUUAUAAGUCUUUUGUUAAAUUAUUAAGCUUAACUUAAAGCAUGCAAAAGAAACUAUUUAUCUUGAGUUAAGUGGGGGUAAAGGGAAUUUCCAGUGAAAUGGUAAAAUAUUUAGAUAUUGGAAAGAACACCAAGGGCGAAGGCAUUUUACUAGACUAUAACUGACACUGAGAAACGAAAGCUAGGGGAGCGAACGGG
rnacentral:rRNA from 1 species